GAUGAAGAACGCAGCGAAAUGCGAUACGUAAUGUGAAUUGCAGAUUUCAGUGAAUCAUCGAAUCUUUGAACGCACAUUGCGCCCGCCAGUAUUCUGGCGGGCAUGUCUGUUCGAGCGUCAUUUCAACCAUCAAGCGCCUGCGCUUGUGUUGGAGCCCUGCGGCUGCCGCAGGCUCUCAAACCCAGUGGCGGGCUCGUCGUCGUACCGAGUGCAGUAAAUUUACCACGCUCAGGGCACGCGACGGGUGACCGGCCGUAAAACCCCCAUCUUCUCAAGGUUGACCUCGGAUCAGGUAGGAAUACCCGCUGAACUUAAGCAUAUCAAUAAGCGGAGGA
rnacentral:misc_RNA from 1 species